AGAGUUUGAUCAUGGCUCAGAAUGAACGUUGGCGGCGUGGAUUAGGCAUGCAAGUCGAGCGAGAACCCAGCAAUGGGGGACAGCGGCGAAAGGGACAGUAAUGUGUAGAUUAUCUGCCCUCGGGUCCGGGAUAGCUGCGGGAAACUGCAGGUAAUACCGGAUAACAUCUCCGGAUCAAAGGUGUGAUUCCGCCCGAGGAUGAGUCUGCAUCCUAUUAGCUUGUUGGUGGGGUAAUGGCCUACCAAGGCUUUGAUGGGUAGCGGGUGUGAGAGCACGACCCGCGUCAUUGGGACUGAGACACUGCCCAGACACCUACGGGUGGCUGCAGUCGAGAAUCUUCGGCAAUGGGCGCAAGCCUGACCGAGCGACGCCGCGUGUGGGAUGAAGGCCUUUGGGUUGUAAACCACUGUCAGAGGGGAUGAAAUGCAGGUGGGUUCUCCCACUUGUUUGACAUAGCCUCAGAGGAAGGACGGGCUAAGUUCGUG
rnacentral:rRNA from 1 species